CUGCAGCCCCUUUGCUGGAGCCUGGUGGACCCAGUUCAUGCUGGAACUACUGAAGGUGAAUCCAGAGGCUACACCGUUGACUUCAUGUCCAGCUGAGUGUGAGGAAGGUCUGGGCCUCAUGUUCUGUGGAGUGGCAGGUGCAGAGACAGGUGGAUCCAGUGGAUGAUUCCUUAACUACUUCAGUAGAAUGGACCCCUGGCUGACCGUUUUGUAAGACUUGACUCAGUGUGCCUCCCCACUGGUUGUCUCUGGCUUCCUGAACUGGAUGGAGAACAAAAGGAGUGAAGGGUAGAAACUACUCUUCUCUCUCACAGGAACGUGUAUAUACUGAGAAUUCUUGAGAGAAAUUCGUGGAGUUGAUGAAGAUGCUGUGGGGUUUCAACAACCACAAGGGUCUUUACUCAUGGUCUCUCUUCAUGGGCAUCAAAGGAAAACCUUAAGGAAAAUAAAAGGAGAGAGGAGCUGCUCAAUUAUAUUAAAUUUAGAUCA